CUGGGCAGGUAUGGCUGAGCUUGCCUCUCCCAUUCUGAUCUUCUUCGCCGGCCCGGUAGUUGCGGCGCCUUUUCUCUAGUAGGCCUUGAGGCCCCUGGCCAGCAGUUGUACGGCUUCCGCACCUUCCGUGUCCAUGCCUACAACAAAAAGACAAGGGGGAGAGGUCAAAAAAAAAAGAAGAGAGAAAAAGAAAGAAGAGAAAUGGGGGGAGAGA
rnacentral:lncRNA from 1 species